AUGGCUCUACGAGACGGAGUCAUUUUCGGCAAGCUUCGAGGUGCUUCGCGAGUGGUGCUCGAAGUAGAUUGUCUGGAGUUGGUACAACUCUGGAACUCGCCACAAAUUUCGCGCUCUGUCAUAGCGCCUAUUCUUCUUGAAAUUGAAGGGCUAGCCUCAACUUUUCUUAGUUUUGAUGUUCAUCAUGUAUUGAGACAAGCUAACAACUCAGCGCACCUCUGUGCAAAGCAUGCAAGCACAUUGGGAGUGACUGAUUGUUGGAUGGACUCUCCUCCCGGUUUCCUAGUGACGAGCCUGAUGGCUGAUCGCGCUGGAGCCGUUUAUGAUUGA
rnacentral:rRNA from 1 species